UGGCGGCAGGCCUAACACAUGCAAGUCGAACGGUAACAGGAAGCAGCUUGCUGCUUUGCUGACGAGUGGCGGACGGGUGAGUAAUGUCUGGGAAACUGCCUGAUGGAGGGGGAUAACUACUGGAAACGGUAGCUAAUACCGCAUAAUGUCGCAAGACCAAAGAGGGGGACCUUCGGGCCUCUUGCCAUCAGAUGUGCCCAGAUGGGAUUAGCUAGUAGGUGGGGUAACGGCUCACCUAGGCGACGAUCCCUAGCUGGUCUGAGAGGAUGACCAGCCACACUGGAACUGAGACACGGUCCAGACUCCUACGGGAGGCAGCAGUGGGGAAUAUUGCACAAUGGGCGCAAGCCUGAUGCAGCCAUGCCGCGUGUAUGAAGAAGGCCUUCGGGUUGUAAAGUACUUUCAGCGGGGAGGAAGGCGAUGCGGUUAAUAACCGCGUUGAUUGACGUUACCCGCAGAAGAAGCACCGGCUAACUCCGUGCCAGCAGCCGCGG
rnacentral:rRNA from 1 species